GUUUAAUUUUCAAUUAAUUUUAUAAAAUAUUCAAAUGCUUUUAUGUUAUUUUUUUCUGUUUUUUGAUGAAAUAUGCAAUAUCUUAUUAUAUCCGUUAACAUAAAAAGAAAAGAAUAUGAAUAUAUUAUAUGUAAAAAUAAAAAGAAAUAGACCUUGUAUCAUCAUCUGAUGGUGGUAGUACACAAAACUAUUACUCUUGAACUCAAAACCAUUUUUUGUCAUUUUUCUGUCUGUAUUUCGUGUAGUCGAUGUUAUGUAUUCAUCCAACUAUCAAAUGAUUGUCUUGUUUGUAUCUGUAUAUUUUAUAGUUCAAAUAAAAUAAUCUUAACAGGUUGUGGGCCCAGUCCAUGUGAAAUAACUGAAUCAGUGUGAACAGGUAUAAAUUGUAGUAUAGCACUUUGUAAUAAUUUCCUUUGGAAAUUAUUUUCACUAGUGUGAAUACAUCAGGUAUAUCUCUAACUCCAUUUACAAUAUCUUUUCCAAGAAAACUGUUUUGCCUUUCUAAUGGCUUUAUUAUAAUAGAUAAGAGCAUAUCUGUAUUUGUGCCAUUCAUCU
rnacentral:lncRNA from 1 species